rnacentral:ncRNA from 2 species
UAGUCUAUAAUAGAACAAUCUUAUUUAUACCUAGGAUAUGGCUGGGCGUUUCUACCUCGUACCGUAAAUGCGAGACAAUAAGGAAAUUCGAUUUUUUA